rnacentral:lncRNA from 1 species
CAGCGACCCGCAGCCUCGGCCCCCGGCCCCAGCCCUGAGCCCCGCGUUCCGCACCCUCGGCCCCUUCCUGGCGCCCAGCACGGGCCCGCCGUGGCCCCCGCGGGAGGGUGUGUCUGGGGGGCUGCGGGGGACGUUGGCGCCGCGUCCCCAGAUGACCCCUCGGCGGGGGCGAGAGGCCGCGGGGAGAGCGGGCAUCGCGCCGCGGGCGCGGACCGUCCGGGAGGCUGUGGGCCCGCGCGGGCGGGGGACAUCGCGUUUCCCGGUUUAUUUCCUCCUCGCAGGUGGCCGGAGCACGGCAGAGGGCCCAGCAGGCGUCUGCAGGGCAGAGGAUGCCCAGGGCCUGGAGGGCCCUUCCUUGAGCGACCCGGAUGACAACAGUCCCCACCUGCUGGGGUGGAUGAGGUCAUGGGAGUCAGCGCCAAGAAUAGGACCUGGCACAAAGAAGGUGACACAUCCUGGACAUUUCUAAACCCUUUCAGGAGACACCAGACCCCCCCCCCCUCCCGAGCUUUCCACUUGACCCUGGUUCCCCUGGGGGCAACUUCUGGCUCCUUGGCUCCUCCAGCAGGGAGGAGCUGCUUGUCUCAGGCACAGUGCCAGGCCCCUCCUGGCCCGCAGAGAGCCAGCCUGCCCAGAGUUGACCAGCCAGCAGGGGUGAGCCAACUUUUCCCAGGGGACUUCCUGCAGGGCCUGGGCAGGCCAGGCACCUGAGCAGGUGAGACCCAGGCAGAUCCUGCCAGAGAAGCCCAGCCUGGGCAGCCUGGGUGGUCUCAUGCCCGCUGUCCUGCACAGCAGGGACCAGGGCCUCCUCCCUGGUGAGAGCCACCUGUACCCUCAGAAAUACCACCUCACUGAGUGCAGAAUUCUAACGAGGGAGCUGUGCUGAAGGUGGAGUUGGGGCCUGGGCUUUUGCUUUGACACUGGUGACAUUGACCUUGAGCUGGUUACUUAACUCCCUGAACCUCAGUUUUCUUGUCUGUAAAAUGGAAACAAUUGUACCUAUUGUGUCCCCAGCAACCUUUUUAAUGACUCCAUUUCACUCCUGGAGAGUGGGGUUCAUCUUACACUUUUCUGUCUACCUUACAAUUUGACGAUUAAGUUCAUUCAUCGACUCAUCAAAGAAUAGUAAUAAAGAAUGUGAGAGCUUGAUAUUUGCCUGGCACCCUUGCUCAUCCAUUCCCCUGCCCAUGCUGGGAGGUAGAAGUCUGUAUUAUUCCUAUUUCACAGAAGAGAAAAUGGAGGCCAGAGACUCGAGGACUCAUGGUCACAGAGCUGAACGUGAUCCAGACCUGGGUCGUCUGGUUUCACGGACUGCCUCUCCAGGCCAGAGACGGGUGCAUAGUAGCCCCUGACUAAGGUAAGCAAGGCCUAGCCAGUUGGAUAAAAGCACAGGUGAUCUCUGGGUCAGAUCUGCUGGCUGAGUCAGGGUGCAAGGGCAGGAGCUGGAGCAGCAGCUUUGGACCAUGAGAUGAAGGCUGAGUGUCAAGGCACAGAGAAGGGCUGCAGGACCCUGAAGGGUUUGGAUGAUGGACUAGAUGCAGAUGUUUUCUCUCCUUUAUUUCAGCAUGUGAG